CGACCCCAUCUUAGGUGAGAACACCCGCUGAUUUUAAGCAUAUAAUUAAGUGGAGGAAAAUAAACUUAUAAGGUUUCCCCUAGUAACGACGAGCGAAUUGGGAAGAUCCCAACAUGAAAAUCAGGUGGAAGCGCCGCCUGAAUUGUAGUCUGUAUAAGCAUCCUUAGUAGCGAACUACGCCCAAGUCCCCUGGAAGGGGGUGCCUGAGAGGGUGACAGCCCCGUUGGGCCGGGACCUUGCAGCACCAUGAGGCAUUGUCAGGGAGUUGGGUUGUUUGGGAAUGUAGCCCUAAUUGGGUGGUAAAUUCUAUCCAAGGAUAAAUAUGUGCGAGAGACUGAUAACGAACAAGUACCGUAGGGAAAGAUUAAAAGGACUUUGAAAAUAGAGUUAAAGAGUGCUUGGAACUGUCGGGAGGGUAGCGGAUGGAGGUCGACGAUGCGUCUUGAUCGGUUGCGGAACGACUCAAGAUGGUUCGCUGCUUGACUUGAGGUACGAACCAACACAGGCCAUUGCAUAGGCACAAGCGCGGGUGGAGUACUGCCUUUUGGUUUGUCGUUGUGGCGGUCGAGGAGUGGAGAAAUCAAGGGAUUCCACCAACACUCAUUUAAAUUUAUUUUCAAUCGCUUGCCAAUACUUCUUUUAGUUUGUUGAUAUUGAGCUCACACAUGAGGUAGUUUAUAUCUAUGAGGAUUUAGGAUCAAUUUUUCAAGCCUGAAUUUGAUGUGUAAAUAUUUAUGAAGGUAUUGGAUCCCUUAAUUAAUCCUUAGUAUUGUUGACGAUUUGAAUAAGUUUUGAAAUCACCAAGCAACCAUGCAGGAAACUCAAUGUUGCAUAGAAUAAGAGUUUAAUUGUUUUAUGAGUUUAAAAGCUAGUAAUUGAACCUUCAUCAUUGAAGUAAGAAAAGAAAGGUGUCAAUGUUUUUGUAUAUUUGGAUAAUUUAGCCAAUAAAUCACUUAUUCAGUGAGGUUACUUGUUUUCCAAACCAACCGAUUGAGGUUAUUGACCCUUGCACUCAAAAAAUUUCCUCCUUGGGGUAACUCACUCACUUGUCCUUAUUUGUCCUUAUGAGCUCUCUUGGGCCUUGUGCACUAGUUGGGGUCUUUUUUAGGUUGAGGAGCCUCCCUUGGUUCCCCAAACUUCCCUAAUCCAUUAGGGCACACUUGUCAUGACCAAGGGGUAAGUUAAAGUCAACAUGGGUAGUCAUAACUACAACAUUGACUAAAACAACCUAACUCGAUAGAAAGUUAGAUAUAGUUCCUAUUGAUUCACAUUGUAUGCCAUCAAAGGUAUGUGAAUUGGUCAAGGUGGAAUGAGAAUGGGAGAACCAAAGUGUUGUUAUAUUGACUUAGAUAUAUGAACUAUCUCCAUGAUUUAAGGACUCAUUUGGAAAAUGAGACAUAGUUGAAUGUUGCUAAGUCUUAGAUAACUAGAACAUCGAAGUUGGCAUGUUAUAAGGCCAAUUGAAUCUAAAUAAGAUUGAAUGACAUCACUGAGCUUGUGAGUGAUAGAGACAAACACCUAAUUACUUUAAGUUUACUUAUAAAUUAUUCUUAUUUUUGUUGCUAAUAUAAAUAUCUAAACAUGGUUUUCAACAUAUG
rfam:Picea glauca, whole genome shotgun sequence.